CUUGGUGUUACUGCGAAGGGGGGACGGAGAAGGCUAUGUUGGCCGGGCGACGGUUGUCCCGGUUUAAGCAUGUAGGCGGAUGUUCCAGGUAAAUCCGGAACGUCACUAACGCUGAGGUGUGAUGACGAGGCACUACGGUGCUGAAGUGACAAAUGCCCUGCUUCCAGGAAAAGCCUCUAAGCAUCAGGUAACAUCAAAUCGUACC
rnacentral:rRNA from 1 species